rnacentral:rRNA from 1 species
UACGUAGGGUGCAAGCGUUGUCCGGAAUUAUUGGGCGUAAAGAGCUCGUAGGCGGUCUGUCGCGUCGAAUGUGAAAACCCGGGGCUCAACCCCGGGCCUGCAUUCGAUACGGGCAGACUAGAGUUCGGUAGGGGAGUCUGGAAUUCCUGGUGUAGCGGUGAAAUGCGCAGAUAUCAGGAGGAACACCGGUGGCGAAGGCGGGACUCUGGGCCGAUACUGACGCUGAGGAGCGAAAGCGUGGGGGAGCGAACAGG